ACGGCCAUGCCAUACUGAAUAUACCGGUUCUCGUUAGAUCACCGAAGUUAAGCAUCACCAAGCGCGGACAGUACUUGGGGUGACCACCUUGGGAACACCUG